rnacentral:rRNA from 1 species
GUCCACGCUGUAAACGAUGGGUGCUAGCCGUCGGGCAGCAUGCUGUUCGGUGGCGCAGCUAACGCAUUAAGCACCCCGCCUGGGAGUACGAUCGCAAGAUUAAACUCAAAGGAAUUGACGGGGCCCGCACAAGCGGUGGAGCAUGUGGUUUAAUUCGAAGCAACGCGAAGAACCUUACCAGGCCUUGACAUCCCGGUCGCGGCCUCUUGAAAGAGAGGCCUUCAGUUCGGCUGGACCGGUGACAGGUGCUGCAUGGCUGUCGU